rnacentral:rRNA from 1 species
AUUGAACGCUGGCGGCAUGGUUAAAACAUGCAAGUCGAACGAUCCCUUCGGGGAGAGUGGCGAAAGGGCUAGGAAUACGAUCGAACGUACCCCGAGGUGGAGGAUAGCCUGUGGAAACGCAGGGUAAUACUCCAUGUCCUCUACGGAGAAAAGGUUUACCGCCUUGGGAGCGGCGAUCGUCCUAUCAGGUAGUUGGUGAGGUAAAGGCUCACCAAGCCGAAGACGGGUAGCGGGUGUGAGAGCAUGACCCGCAGCAUCGGAACUGAGACACUGUCCGGACUCCUACGGGAGGCUGCAGUAACGAAUCUUCCGCAAUGCGCGAAAGCGUGACGGAGCAAUGCCGCGUGCAGGAUGAAGCGUCUACGACGUGUAAACUGCUGUCAGGGUUUAGGAACAAUGACCAGACCCAAAGGAAGGACCGGCUAAUCUCG